rnacentral:tRNA from 1 species
AGAAAGAUAAGCUAAUUAAGCUAAUGGGCUCAUACCCCACAUAUGAAGGUUAAAUACUAAUCCUUCUCUUUCUA